CGUUUGCUGAGCACAGAAUAAGGAUCAGGAAUCAGGCCUGCAGCCUUACAUAGAUCAUCCCAUUUAGUCCUCACAGCACUCCUGCAAGAAAGGAAUUGUUGUUCCUAUUGUUCAGCUGAAGAAAUGGGAUGGAGACUAAGGUGAAGUGACCUGCCCAGGGUUAUACAGCCCCUCCGAGGCAGGGCUUGUAUUUGAUCCCGAGCCUGGCUCCUCCUUCGCCAUGCCAGCACCAGGAGGGUGCUAUACUGGGUCUCCCCUACUAUUUCCCAAACCUUGGAUCUUUGGUUUUAACAAAGCUACAGAACCUUUUAUUGUAGUUUUCAAACUGGGUUCCUCUGAGGUACCCUGGGGGCUGCGCUGGGGGCUGCCCUGGGGGUUGAAGGGGAGGCUGGGAGGCUUCCUGGCUUCAACCAGGCAGCUCUGCUCUCACCAACUUUCAUCUGAUGGAUUUUGUGGCUUCAAGAAAAAGAAAGCCUGGAAAAUGUGGCUUACAGAGAUGGAAAUUCAAUGUGAUGGGGGAACCCCAUGGGGGAGAUGUUUGCCAGGCACCUGUUUACUGAGCUGCCUGCCACUCUGUGGCUGGCUCUGUACAGGGGACUGGGGGUGAUGAAGAUGGACACGCCCCUGUCCCCAAAGACCUCACAGAGAUGAAAACACAGCAGUGUGAUGAGGCUCUGAGGGGACAUGCAGGUAGCUUUGGGACUGGGGAGGACACUUAAUCCGGACGAAGGUGGGGAGGAUCAGGGAAAACUUCUCUGGAGUUGGUGACAUUUGAGCUGACUCUUUAAAGGACCUUUGGAAUUUGCCCAGAAGGGAUGUGGGAAGGGCACCUUCCAUCUCGUCUGUAUCUGAUACCUGUCCUGACCACACAGGGUGUCCUGGAUCCUGUUGGGGUCCUUGGGUCCCUGGGUCAUGCCUCAGAGCUGAAAACGUACCAGGUCCAGCAAAUGUUCAGCGGCCCCAGCUUCCCCCUUCCUGGGUGGAUAGUCAGGCAGCAGCAAGACUGUAUGUGAACUAGAUGAGCAAGAAGUCCUGUCUCCCCCAUCUGACUUGUCACACUUCAGUCCCACCCCUACCCAGCCAGCCAGCCUGCAGUCGGUUUGUUCAGGGAGGCUGCGAGGAGCAGCGUGCUGGUAGCGGUGUAAUCAUCGGCCUCGGGGCAGAGGGGAGCCUGAUUUGUGUGAUGCUGUCAACACUGCUGAUUUCAAGCUACCAGUGUAACUGAUGUUUCUGAACCCAGAACUGGGAGAGAUGCCCGCAGUCAGGAACACAGGCCUCGAGCGGGCUCCUGCACACCUGGCAGGGGAUGUGAAGACCCAUCCCUACUUCUGGGUGUUCCAGUUCUUUUGAGGAGGCAGACGUCAGGCUCAUGGGAACUGGGUAGUCCUAGGGCUGCUGAGGAAAGGGUGUAGUGUGAUGCUGGCCAUUGUGGAGGUCUGGAAAAAAAUAACCUGGAACUUAUUCAUACUAAGGUGUGAGUGACUGCUUCAAGUCUGGCAAGGAAAGACUUGCCAGCUUCUCAUUUGUGUCCUGCCUUGUCACCUUACUCCUGCCCCAACAGCCUCUCUCCUUGCAGAGCCAGUGCCCUCCCUGACCUCCAUCCAGGUGCUGGAGAAUUCGAUGUCCAUCACCUCCCAGUACUGUGCUCCAGGGGAUGCCUGCAGGCCUGGGAACUUCACCUACCACAUCCCUGUCAGUAGUGGCACCCCACUGCACCUCAGCCUGACUCUGCAGAUGAAGUGAGUGCCGGUGUGGGGAAGUGGGAGGCAGGAGGGGAGCCAGGGAGAAUCUCCCGCAGAGCCUCAGAACAGCCGAGUCUGAGGACAGCCGGAGAGUCUCUGGUAUUUCCUGCAUGGUGGGAUAAGUGCUGACUUCAUUGCCUACUUCGUGGUUAACUGGCUAAAUGACCUGGCCUCAUGGGCUGAGGACCACAUGGGAUGGUCGAUGGGAAAGGUUUUGUUCGAGGGCCCUGGUUAUUAUGCGGUGUUUCAGGCUGGGUGGAGAUUCAGAGGCGUGUGGCAGGCUGGCUGGGAGGGGGCUGGGGUUGAGGGACUCUAGAACCUCAUUUCUCUGCUAACUGGGCCUGUCUACAGCUCCUCCUCCCCCGUGUCUGUGGUGCUGUGCAGCCUGAGGUCAAAGGAGGAACCAUGUGAGGAGGGGAGCCUUCCACAGAGUCUCCACACCCACCAGGACACCCAGGUAGGUGGGACUGGGAAGCUGCGGGCCGGCCAGGCCCGAGCUGCUUCUCUCCUGGCACAACUGGGCCCCAAAAUGGGCAAGGAGCAGAAGCUGGGAGUUAUAGAGUAAAGCCUUCUCCACAAGGGACACUCUGGGGCCUGGGCCUCUGUGUCCCAGGGAGGGGCACGCGUGCCCGUGUUUGUUCAUUGCACUCUGCUGAGCAUCUCCCAGCCCUGCCGUGCUGGAGACGUGGGGAAGACAGCAGAUCACAGGUGCUAAUGUGGAUGAGUGCAAUGAUGGAAACAGGCAGGUGUCUGGGAGCCCAUGGCGGGGAGGGCUGUGGCUCACUGGAGGUGUCUGCAGAAGCAGGAAGGAGCCGACCUCAUGCUCAGGUUGGGGAAGUGGCACAGCUAGAUGUACAGCAUCAGAGGGCCCCUCAGGUUCCAUGUUUGGCCACCUCUUCUGGGAGAACUGGAUGGUGAGCUCCUCCCUGGCCAGGUAACCGGAAGUUAUGACUGUCCCUGGGGCUGAUGGACCCCCAGUUUCUUCUUGAGCCUAAGAGGCCAUGGGAGAAGACGCUCAGGACAAAUGAAGGGAAGUAGUGAUUAUUUUUUCUUGCCCAUUCAUGUGUUUACUCAGAAAAUAUUGAUUGGGGCCCCAUCUGUCCCAGGCCCUGUGCUGGGUGGGCCUAGCUGCAGGGGAGAGAGGUGGAGUAGACACAGGUUUUGACUUCCAAGAACGUACUCUAUAGUGAGGGAGAAAAGACGUGCAGAAAGCACCUGCAACAGAGGUGGGGGUGCUUCUGAGGGAGGCCCGAGCCCUGUCGCCCUGCAGAAGAGACAGGGUCCAAGACAGAGGGAGAGCCCAGCUAGACACACAGCAGACAUGGUGCUCGGGCCUGAAACCACAUCACAGACGCACAGCCAAAGCCUCAGGUAGAUGGGCAAGCUGCCUGCAGCCAGGCUGCAUGCCACCCUGUGAGGGAGACAGCCAGACAGACCUGGGUUUGAAUCCCAGCUGUGUGAUUUUGCCACACUGUGUGAUUUUUAGGAAGUGGCUCAGUUUCCUCAUCCAGAAGAUGGGGCUAGUAGCAGCACUGUGUCACUGGAUUGUACUGAGGAUGGGGCUAAUGAAAUACUUUGAUGU
rnacentral:lncRNA from 10 species